UCCGCCUCCCCGAGCAGCCUCUGAAUACGGGUGGGCGACUCACACAAGCUGCAGAUCAGUGUCACAGGGGCGGCUGGCUGGGCCAGGGUUGAUAAAGCUUGUCAGCUCUUCUGCGUGCAGACACAGAUAGGGAGGAUGGACCAGUGAUUAGGGGCAUUCAGCAAGGACAUUCACCCCCAUGGAGGAAGGAAUCCACAACUCAUGGGAGUCAUCGAUGUACCAGCUCAACACCACCUAUCUAGAGGACCCAGAGGCCCUGGACAGUGUUGCCUCAGACAGCGAAGAUGAGUUGGGCCCAACAUGUUUUUGCUCAAUGCUGGUACAAGUCAUUGACAAGAACACCGAGGAUGAUGGCCAUAUGGAUUUAAGGAGGACCCUUAGCAUAGAACUAACUGACCCAGUGUCAAAUCGUGAGCAUAAAAAGUCACAUGCUCUAUUGUACGUGUUAUUGUUUAUGCUGUCCUUAAUCACUGCCUUAGGGAGCAGCUUUUGGAAGACUGUGAUGCCAACAGCACCAUGACUAUGUGAUUUGGACUUCAAAGCUCCGGGACCUGUGUGCUAACUUGUGUUUGGAAAGCUUAUUAAAUAGGUUAUGCUACGCAAUGUCUGUGCUUAACGUAAGAAAAUUUAGCACAAGGGGUGACCUUGGUAAAUGCUGUUCAAAGUGCUUGAGAUCCUGACAGUAUUUUAAAGAAAAUUACCAAACCAGAGGAUACCUGCUUAGUGCAUUAUAUCAACUGUCUGGUCCACACAAAAAGUUACAGAACCCUUCCUAGGAAAAAAACUAUUUGUAAGAAAUCUAAAAGGAUUAAGUUACAGAAUGGUGAGGGGACAAACACGCGAUAUAAAUCCUGGUAGCUAUAAAUAAAAGUAUCUAUUGAAAAGGACUUUGUGACUAUCUGUGUUUCUAUUAGAAGGUCUGCGUGGCCCUUAAAUAAGAUAAAAGUUUUGGUGGAGCAUCUUGAUUUGUUUUCAAGGGGCUGUAUGUCUUUUAAAUCAAAAUAGUUUCUGAGAACCCAGCUAUUAUGUCUUUGUGUAAAGAGACCUAUUUACAGCAAAAAGUUGAAAUGUGUGUAGUAGACUCCUGGGCGGGGAGGAAAGGCACAAAAACAACGUGUUUAUAAUAAAGCAAUAAAUAAAUUUUAAAAAGCUCCUAUAUUCUAUAUAAAACAGCAACAUUUGAGAUGUGUUUGAGUACAAUAGAGCUGCCUUACCCUGUUGAGCUGAUGGUUUAACCACAUUCCCACUGAAAUAGCAGGGAUGACUCUCUUGCCUUCAGUGAUGCUGUAGAUCUAGGUCUAGAUGUGAUUAUCCACCCUUGUUUCCAUCAGAGUUAUAGAUAUUAGUGAUCAGUAAUGACGUUUGAUGGGUGUACACACACAGUAAGGGAGGCGGGUGGGUGAGGAUGGUGAGCUCUAAUUAAUAUAAAAUGAAAUAAAACCUCAGGAUUUCGUUGAAUGCUAUUGGACAGUUUAAAUAAAACCCCAGGAGUUGGUUGAGCACUAUGGGUUAGUCUUUCUAGCAACUUAAAGUCGUGAAAAGUUUAAAAUAAUGUAUUUACAAAAAUAAACAAGGGUCUAACCCAAAACUGAAAUGUUUCAAAGGUUCACAAACCUCCACCAUACUUUUAUAAAAUAAACAUUUGCUGUAAGAACAAUCAAACAUUUAAAAACUAUGGGUAUUUGUAAGAUGUUUACUAUGGUUAUUUCAAAACAAACCAACAACUUUAAGCAUGAAACAAAUAUGUUUAAAAUAAAAUUAAAAAAACCAACCUGACAUGAACUGUGAUCAUAUAGAUCAUAGCUGCAACCAGGGUCCUCUAGUUGCACCAGGUCUUGUACAGAAGAGGUCAAGUGG